AGAGUUUGAUCAUGGCUCAGAUUGAACGCUGGCGGCAGGCCUAACACAUGCAAGUCGAGCGGUAGCACAGAGAGCUUGCUCUCGGGUGACGAGCGGCGGACGGGUGAGUAAUGUCUGGGAAACUGCCUGAUGGAGGGGGAUAACUACUGGAAACGGUAGCUAAUACCGCAUAACGUCGCAAGACCAAAGUGGGGGACCUUCGGGCCUCAUGCCAUCAGAUGUGCCCAGAUGGGAUUAGCUAGUAGGUGGGGUAACGGCUCACCUAGGCGACGAUCCCUAGCUGGUCUGAGAGGAUGACCAGCCACACUGGAACUGAGACACGGUCCAGACUCCUACGGGAGGCAGCAGUGGGGAAUAUUGCACAAUGGGCGCAAGCCUGAUGCAGCCAUGCCGCGUGUGUGAAGAAGGCCUUCGGGUUGUAAAGCACUUUCAGCGGGGAGGAAGGCGGUGAGGUUAAUAACCUCACCGAUUGACGUUACCCGCAGAAGAAGCACCGGCUAACUCCGUGCCAGCAGCCGCGGUAAUACGGAGGGUGCAAGCGUUAAUCGGAAUUACUGGGCGUAAAGCGCACGCAGGCGGUCUGUCAAGUCGGAUGUGAAAUCCCCGGGCUUAACCUGGGAACUGCAUUCGAAACUGGCAGGCUAGAGUCUUGUAGAGGGGGGUAGAAUUCCAGGUGUAGCGGUGAAAUGCGUAGAGAUCUGGAGGAAUACCGGUGGCGAAGGCGGCCCCCUGGACAAAGACUGACGCUCAGGUGCGAAAGCGUGGGGAGCAAACAGGAUUAGAUACCCUGGUAGUCCACGCCGUAAACGAUGUCGAUUUGGAGGUUGUGCCCUUGAGGCGUGGCUUCCGGAGCUAACGCGUUAAAUCGACCGCCUGGGGAGUACGGCCGCAAGGUUAAAACUCAAAUGAAUUGACGGGGGCCCGCACAAGCGGUGGAGCAUGUGGUUUAAUUCGAUGCAACGCGAAGAACCUUACCUGGUCUUGACAUCCACAGAACUUAGCAGAGAUGCUUUGGUGCCUUCGGGAACUGUGAGACAGGUGCUGCAUGGCUGUCGUCAGCUCGUGUUGUGAAAUGUUGGGUUAAGUCCCGCAACGAGCGCAACCCUUAUCCUUUGUUGCCAGCGGUUCGGCCGGGAACUCAAAGGAGACUGCCAGUGAUAAACUGGAGGAAGGUGGGGAUGACGUCAAGUCAUCAUGGCCCUUACGACCAGGGCUACACACGUGCUACAAUGGCAUAUACAAAGAGAAGCGACCUCGCGAGAGCAAGCGGACCUCAUAAAGUAUGUCGUAGUCCGGAUUGGAGUCUGCAACUCGACUCCAUGAAGUCGGAAUCGCUAGUAAUCGUAGAUCAGAAUGCUACGGUGAAUACGUUCCCGGGCCUUGUACACACCGCCCGUCACACCAUGGGAGUGGGUUGCAAAAGAAGUAGGUAGCUUAACCUUCGGGAGGGCGCUUACCACUUUGUGAUUCAUGACUGGGGUGAAGUCGUAACAAGGUAACCGUAGGGGAACCUGCGGUUG
rnacentral:rRNA from 1 species